UACAGAGGUCUCAAGCGUUGUUCGGAUUCAUUGGGCGUAAAGGGUGCGUAGGCGGCGCGGUAAGUCGGCUGUGAAAUCUCGGAGCUUAACUCCGAAACUGCAUUCGAUACUGCCGUGCUUGAGGACUGGAGAGGAGACUGGAAUUUACGGUGUAGCGGUGAAAUGCGUAGAUAUCGUAAGGAAGACCAGUGGCGAAGGCGGCUCACUGGCCCGGUACUGACGCUGAGGCGCGAAAGCGUGGGGAGCAAACAGG
rnacentral:rRNA from 1 species